CCGCAGCUAAUAUGAUAGAACGAAAAAAAGAAAGGUGGCUUUGAACCUUUCACAAUGGUGCUAAUACGGUGCAGAAGGGCUCUGCAGAGGCCUCUGCGGGGCCGGCGGCGUUUGCUUCGGCCCCGCUCGGCAGCGAAGGUGGGGAGGGCUGCGGUGCGGCCUGCCGCAGGCUGAUGGAAAAGCCAGCCCCGGCUCCGUCCCCCUGCGGGCCAACACCGAAAAGUCUCGCUUUGUCAAAAUUUAUAGCUGGAUUAGGUCGUUUGACUUCAGGCUCAUGAUAUUGUGUGCUCUUUUGCUAGAUAAGUUUUGCUUUAGUUUUGGCUUUUUGCAAGCAAAGUGACCUAACUCUAUACGUUUGCAGACUUUGCAAUUAAGUCCUUUGACAGCUCAGCUCAGCUCCCCGCCAGCACUACGCUGUCAGCACCAGCCCGAGAAAGAGGGGCGACCAGAAUAAAGGGAGGAAGAGAACAGAGACGCUUCCAAGGUCCCAAAAUUAGCGCUAAUUAGUGCCUAUAUCCACCUGCAGUAGAACGGGAGCUGAAUCCUGUUGUGCUCUGGAGAGCAGCUCUCGUGUGCUACCUACAAAGUAAAGAGGAUUAUUGAUGGCGUAUGUUAUUUCUGGUUAGUAGUAAGGGAUCUUGGGAGCAGAAGGGAUAAGAGCUGAGGUGAGGCAGUAGGGUUUGAAGCCCUUUUACGGGUUAAAACUCCUUUUUUUUUCUGGGUGAAAACGGGAUGCCGGCCUUCCAAGACAACUGAGGUACACCCCAAGUUCGGGAGGUACUUGAAUUUAUUUGUGGGCCCUAUAGAUUUGCCUUUGGUACUUUUGAAAGUGAGCCACCAGUCUGUGGGCACUUAAAAAAUUUAAAUACAGCUUAACUGGUGCAUAGAAUGUCAGAGUAGGAAUUAAUCCUGACAAACGAUGUUUUCCUCAUCCCCGGUCCUUCCCUUAGCUGAUGUAGGCUGCUCUGCCAAUGAUCCUUACGCCCAUAUCGGCAUUAAAAGGGCAAAAGAGGACGCCAAAGUGAGACUUAAAAGGAGAAGACCUCUCUGCAUCACCUCGGGCAAUGUAGCAAGGAAAACAGCAGGGAAGCUGCUCCCAAUUUGUAUGGGUGCUUGCAUGACACGCUGAGCCAUGUAACCUCGAUAUAGCGCUAGGCUCGGCUCAGCGCUCUGCUUCCAUCUGUUUACCAAAGAAGGAAGUCUCUUGCCUCUAUUUUCCUUGUCAUGUGCCCCAAAAUCCAGCUAGCCUUGUUCCUCGAUUUUUUUUUUUUUCCCCAGGCUCCAAAACCAGCCGAGGUUCGAGGUGGUUCGAUCCCGUGCUACUAUAACGAGAAGGCUAGAACAAAAUAAGGAACCAGAAAACUUACCAGGGAUAAGGAAAGCCAGCGAGGAACUCAAUACCGCCCGUCAUAUUGGAAGUGGUAAGCAUUUCUACCAAGAUGCUCAUCUAUUUAAAGCUCUGUCGGUCUACGCAGGAGUGGGGGAACUACCUAAUGCAAAAUUUAGAAAUGGGAACGUUGCAGAUCUCUGCUCGUGGUGACGGCUGGGAGCUCCCAGCAGCUUUGGGAAAACGGAGCCUCCGAGAGGACGUUCAUUCACGGCCAGCGCCCAGGCCCCGGGCAGGGCAUGGUGGGGGGUUAUCUUGGAAACAAGCUGGACGAUGAUAAAACUAAUUCCCGUGAUCAGAACCUACCCAUUAUGCUUGUGGCUGGUCUACCCAGGGGCUCCAGGGGCAGUUGAUAAGAACUAGCCAUGAU